rnacentral:rRNA from 1 species
CCUACGGGCGCAGCAGUGGGGAAUAUUGCGCAAUGGGCGAAAGCCUGACGCGGCGACGCCGCGUGAGGGAUGAAGGUCUUCGGAUCGUAAACCUCUGUCAGCAGGGAAGAACGGUCACUGUGCUAAUCAGCAGUGAAUUGACGGUACCUGCAAAGGAAGCACCGGCUAACUACGUGCCAGCAGCCGCGGUAAUACGUAGGUGGCGAGCGUUAUCCGGAAUGAUUGGGCGUAAAGGGUGCGCAGGCGGCGCAUUAAGUUUGAAGUAAAAGGUAGCGGCUCAACCGCUGCAAGCUUCGAAAACUGGU